ACAUGGGUAUUGAAACCGAAAAAUAAAAUGGGAAAUUGGUCUGAUCCUGCAAUAAUUUUCAAUUUUAUUUAUCUCUGCAUGUGAUAUGUUUCAAGUGCUAUAUUCUGUUUGCUCUUCCUAGUGGAAACAUGCAAAUUGUUUGUACACUUGUGCCACAUGACAAUAUGAAAUGCUGAGAAAUUACUUAACUAGCUCUGCUUUAAUCCUUCAAGAUCUUUAAAUAUUGUUAAAUAGGUUUUUAAUUAGAU